rnacentral:rRNA from 1 species
AGAGUUUGAUCCUGGCUCAGGAUGAACGCUGGCGGCGUGCCUAAUACAUGCAAGUCGAACGAGGUGCUUUUGUAGCAAUACGAGAGUAUCCUAGUGGCGAACGGGUGAGUAACGCGUUGGUGACCUACCCCAAAGUGUGGGAUAACAGUCCGAAAGGAUUGCUAAUACCGCAUGUGGUCUUCGGGUUUAGAAACUGAUGACUAAAGGAGCAAUUCGCUUUGGGAGGGACCUGCGUCCCAUCAGCUAGUUGGUGAGGUAAUGGCUCACCAAGGCUACGACGGGUAGGGGACCUGAGAGGGUGACCCCCCACAAUGGAACUGAAACACGGUCCAUACACCUACGGGUGGCAGCAGUAGGGAAUAUUGCACAAUGGGCGAAAGCCUGAUGCAGCAACGCCGCGUGUGCGAUGAAGGCCUUCGGGUCGUAAAGCACUUUCUGGGAGAUGAGCAAGGACAGUAUCUCAGGAAUAAGUCUCGGCUAACUACGUG